rnacentral:snRNA from 1 species
AUCACUUCUCGGCCUUUUGGCUAAGAUCAAGUGUAGUAUUUCAUUUUUUAGUGAGAUUGUAAAUGAUAUUGUAUUUUUUUUAUUUUAAUAGUCACAUGAUUAUUGCCAGUGUAUACACAUACAAUUGAUUUUUGCACGCUAUUCUUGUGUCCUAUGGCCUUGCUAAACUCACU